GCGGCGUGCUUCAUACAUGCAAGUCGAACGAGAAGCAGGAGCUUGCUCCUGUGGAAAGUGGCGGACGGGUGAGUAACACGUAGGAAAUCUGCCUUUGGGUGGGGGACAACAGUUGGAAACGACUGCUAAUACCCCAUAUGAGCUUGGUUGCAAUACCAAUCUUGAAAACUCCGGUGCCUAAAGAUGAGCCUGCGUCUGAUUAGCUUGUUGGCGGGGGAAUGGCCCACCAAGGCGACGAUCAGUAGCUGGUUUGAGAGGAUGAUCAGCCACAAGUGGACUGAGACACGGCCCAUACUCCUACGGGAGGCAGCAGUAGGGAAUUCUGCGCAAUGGGGGAAACCCUGACGCAGCAACGCCGCGUGAAUGACGAAGCCCUUCGGGGUGUAACGUUCUGUCAGUAGGGAAGAAUUUUGACUGUACCCACAAAGGAAGCACCGGCUAACUCCGUGCCAGCCGCCGCGGUAA
rnacentral:rRNA from 1 species